rnacentral:rRNA from 5 species
AGAGUUUGAUCAUGGCUCAGAUUGAACGCUGGCGGCAGGCCUAACACAUGCAAGUCGAACGGUAACAGGAAGCAGCUUGCUGCUUUGCUGACGAGUGGCGGACGGGUGAGUAAUGUCUGGGAAACUGCCUGAUGGAGGGGGAUAACUACUGGAAACGGUGGCUAAUACCGCAUAACGUCGCAAGACCAAAGAGGGGGACCUUCGGGCCUCUUGCCAUCAGAUGUGCCCAGAUGGGAUUAGCUUGUUGGUGAGGUAACGGCUCACCAAGGCGACGAUCCCUAGCUGGUCUGAGAGGAUGACCAGCCACACUGGAACUGAGACACGGUCCAGACUCCUACGGGAGGCAGCAGUGGGGAAUAUUGCACAAUGGGCGCAAGCCUGAUGCAGCCAUGCCGCGUGUAUGAAGAAGGCCUUCGGGUUGUAAAGUACUUUCAGCGGGGAGGAAGGUGUUGCGGUUAAUAACCGCAGCAAUUGACGUUACCCGCAGAAGAAGCACCGGCUAACUCCGUGCCAGCAGCCGCGGUAAUACGGAGGGUGCAAGCGUUAAUCGGAAUUACUGGGCGUAAAGCGCACGCAGGCGGUCUGUCAAGUCGGAUGUGAAAUCCCCGGGCUCAACCUGGGAACUGCAUUCGAAACUGGCAGGCUUGAGUCUUGUAGAGGGGGGUAGAAUUCCAGGUGUAGCGGUGAAAUGCGUAGAGAUCUGGAGGAAUACCGGUGGCGAAGGCGGCCCCCUGGACAAAGACUGACGCUCAGGUGCGAAAGCGUGGGGAGCAAACAGGAUUAGAUACCCUGGUAGUCCACGCCGUAAACGAUGUCUACUUGGAGGUUGUGCCCUUGAGGCGUGGCUUCCGGAGCUAACGCGUUAAGUAGACCGCCUGGGGAGUACGGCCGCAAGGUUAAAACUCAAAUGAAUUGACGGGGGCCCGCACAAGCGGUGGAGCAUGUGGUUUAAUUCGAUGCAACGCGAAGAACCUUACCUGGUCUUGACAUCCACAGAACUUUCCAGAGAUGGAUUGGUGCCUUCGGGAACUGUGAGACAGGUGCUGCAUGGCUGUCGUCAGCUCGUGUUGUGAAAUGUUGGGUUAAGUCCCGCAACGAGCGCAACCCUUAUCCUUUGUUGCCAGCGAUUAGGUCGGGAACUCAAAGGAGACUGCCAGUGAUAAACUGGAGGAAGGUGGGGAUGACGUCAAGUCAUCAUGGCCCUUACGACCAGGGCUACACACGUGCUACAAUGGCGCAUACAAAGAGAAGCGACCUCGCGAGAGCAAGCGGACCUCAUAAAGUGCGUCGUAGUCCGGAUUGGAGUCUGCAACUCGACUCCAUGAAGUCGGAAUCGCUAGUAAUCGUGGAUCAGAAUGCCACGGUGAAUACGUUCCCGGGCCUUGUACACACCGCCCGUCACACCAUGGGAGUGGGUUGCAAAAGAAGUAGGUAGCUUAACCUUCGGGAGGGCGCUUACCACUUUGUGAUUCAUGACUGGGGUGAAGUCGUAACAAGGUAACCGUAGGGGAACCUGCGGUUGGAUCACCU